CACGGGGGGAGCAAGCGUUGUUCGGAAUCACUGGGCGUAAAGGGCGUGUAGGCGGUCAGGUAAGUGAGAUGUGAAAUGCCCCGGCUCACCCGGGGACCGGCAUCUCAUACUGCUUGGCUUGAGUACGGGAGAGGAUGUGGGAAUUCCUGGUGUAGCGGUGAAAUGCGUAGAUAUCGGGAGGAACACCAGUGGCGAAGGCGGGUCUCUGGGCCGAUACUGACGCUGAGGAGCGAAAGCGUGGGGAGCGAACAGG
rnacentral:rRNA from 1 species